UUUUAAAAAAAUAACUUUGUGUUUAAUAAGUAAGAGUCGAAAAAAAUAGCUUUUUAAACUCCUCUACUAUAUUUGCAGUUUUAAAAUAUAUUUUUCAAGGGCUUUUUUCAAGCGCUUUUUUUGUGAAUUUGAAUGACAAAACUCGAGUUCUGAUUAUCUUAUACACACGUAUAGGUACUAAAGCCGAUAAAAACGGUAGAUUCGAUCUCUCCGAUUGGAACGCAAGUACGCUAUUGAUAGGUUUUGAUAAGAGAUGUCGUUUUAUGCGAUACAAAUCGUUAGUUUUUAAGAGAAAGUGAUGCCCGCGCACGUGACGUAAUGCUCAUUCUAACAAACGUGAGAAAUAACGAAUUUAAGUUCGGCCGGGACAAUAUUGCGAUGUUAGUUUUGAUACCAGAGUGAAUUGACCUGUUAUCGAACUCGAGACAAAAACCAUCAUCGGCUGUACAAUCACGUAGUAACAGGUGAUUUUCGAUCUUUCAAAUUUCUAAGCGGGUUGUAAGCAUUUUUUUUCAAAUUGCGAUAAACUCGCAUGUUCGACUAAUAUGGCGAUUGCACUGCAUAUUGCAUUAUUGCCUUUAAGUUU